UUGAUUCGCGAUUCUCCCCUCAACCUCCCAACAGUUCACGGUUUAACUUACACGGCAGAAGAAAUAGGAGAAGUAUCAUGAAGUGGUUCGAGUUACCGGAACUCCGAUUCGCGAUUAUCGUCACCGCGUGACAUGCAUUUCAUCAUGAAUAAUACCUGAAAUAUCAGUCAGAAUAAAUUUAUUGAGAAUACAGACAAAUUGGUUAAAUCGUUUCUCAAGAACAUGCAAAAUCAGCGGGUAAAAAGUUUCAAAUUUAAAAUUGCAGACACCAGUAUUAUUAAUCUACUGUUCACGUAGUUUAACCUGGUGUGCUCGUUGUAUUUUUCAGCGACUGUUUCGAUUACAUUUUGACCCGCCUGAGCCUUUUAACCGGUGCAAAUUUAUUUCAGAAUUUGAAGAAACGCUGUAUUUUUUAAUAAGUUUAUUUUUGUGCUGAUUAUUUUAGUGUGUCCGAUUUAAUUUUACAAGCAAAUUUAUAUCCGGCUUAUAUUUAUAAUCGGUCACUAUUUUUAUUAGGUUAAUUAUUCAACUAAAAUAAUUAGUGUAAAUAAUCAUAAUUAUUAUUGAAUUUAUUUUGGUUUGCUUAACUAUUAAUUUUUAAAGUAUAGUGAAAAAAAAAGGUUAAAAAUGUGAGUUUAGAUUUAUUCAUAAAAAUAUUUCUCAAUCUGAAAAAGAAAUGGAUAAGAAGGAAUAAAUUUGGUGAAUUUUGAGGAUCUAAUAGCAGUGUGACACGUGUCACUCUUCACUCUCUCAUACAACAAACUCUCACGUCUCUCUCAUUUAAUAGCUGUCACCUACCACUCAUAACGACUUAAUUCCCACUCCUAUUCAUUGAAUUUCCCAGCGUCUCUCUCCUAUCUCCACGUUACCCCUUCUUCUCUCUCUUUCAAAAAACGUAAAAAAGGAAAAAGAAACGGUCACUCACGUGGCUCUCUCUCACAAACUCACUACAUCCGCCUUCUCCGUCUCCACUAACCCUACCUCACCUCACACCUUCAUCUUCUUCACCUAAAUCCACCCUUCAACCAACUCCACCUCCGUCUCCUUUCCGCUUUCUUCACAAACCCACAAAACUCACUCGCCCAGCUCUCGCCUCCCUCACCGUCUGUUCCUCAUCUCAAACACCAUUAACACCACCAUCAAUCACCUACAUUCUCUCAUCGACCGCAAACAAAAAACGGAUCUCCACCGCUCACCAACAACAAAAACAAAGCGCAAUCCACCGCCGUAACCACGUUUCCACCUAAAACCUCCGCUCGCACCAUCCUUUUCUCCAAAUACAAACCAUACGCAUCUCCUCCGUACCACACGACCGGUGAAUACUCAAUAUCUCCCAGAAUCUCUCGCCAUUGAUGGUACCUUCAGCAACUCCGGUCGCCGAUCCGUCACGCCUCUAACAAACAGUAGAGUUUACUGUUACAUUUUUCAUCGCCAGGAAAGAAGUUGAAUGAUAUCGUCGACAUCAACGAAUUCAACAUCCUUGCAACUCAGGAAUUGUUCAGAGCAAAACUCAACAAUAAUAACUCAAUAGCACCUUAGCGGUGCCAUAGGAUAUCGAACAAGAACGAGGCCACUUGCUUCAGCUUUGUUUUGGAUGAUUUCAAGUUAGAGAGUUUUCUUCGAUUGGUUCGCUGCUGGUUUUUGUUUGGUUUUUUUGUGCAGGUAAGGGUUCGGUUAAGACUCGGAACGGAAAGAUCCAGAUUCGCUUCAUCAACGGUGCUGCAUUCGGUAAUAUCUCGAACCGAAAACACUGAUUACGAAUGGUUCCAUAGUUUGAUGCUAUUUUAGUUAUUGAAUCAUGUGUGCAACUCAAAAAUUAGUUUCGGUAUUUUGAUUGCAUUACGUAUCGGCUUUACUGCAGAAGUUUAUUUCGAUUCCAUAUGUUUCAUGACAGAAUGUGUUUCGGAAUAAGUGUUGGAUUUAUGUCGACAUUGCGGUAGUCUUGUAAACAAUUAAGUUGUUCUUA